rnacentral:rRNA from 1 species
AGCGAACGCUGGCGGCAGGCCUAACACAUGCAAGUCGAACGAACCCUUCGGGGUUAGUGGCGGACGGGUGAGUAACACGUGGGAACGUGCCUUUAGGUUCGGAAUAACUCAGGGAAACUUGUUCUAAUACCGAAUGUGCCCUUAGGGGGAAAGAUUUAUCGCCUUUAGAGCGGCCCGCGUCUGAUUAGCUAGUUGGUGAGGUAAAGGCUCACCAAGGCUACGAUCAGUAGCUGGUCUGAGAGGAUGACCAGCCACAUUGGGACUGAGACACGGCCCAAACUCCUACGGGAGGCAGCAGUGGGGAAUCUUGCGCAAUGGGCGAAAGCCUGACGCAGCCAUGCCGCGUGAAUGAUGAAGGUCUUAGGAUUGUAAAAUUCUUUCACCGGGGACGAUAAUGACGGUACCCGGAGAAGAAGCCCCGGCUAACUUCGUGCCAGCCGCCGCGGUAACAC